rnacentral:rRNA from 1 species
UGGGGAAUUUUGGACAAUGGGCGAAAGCCUGAUCCAGCAAUGCCGCGUGUGUGAAGAAGGCCUUCGGGUUGUAAAGCACUUUUGUCCGGAAAGAAAUCCUUGGCUCUAAUACAGUCGGGGGAUGACGGUACCGGAAGAAUAAGCACCGGCUAACUACGUGCCAGCAGCCGCGGUAAUACGUAGGGUGCAAGCGUUAAUCGGAAUUACUGGCGUAAAGCGUGCGCAGGCGGUUUGCUAAGACCGAUGUGAAAUCCCCGGGCUCAACCUGGGAACUGCAUUGGUGACUAGCAGGCUAGAGUAUGGCAGAGGGGGGUAGAAUUCCACGUGUAGCAGUGAAAUGCGUAGAGAUGUGGAGGAAUACCGAUGGCGAAGGCAGCCCCCUGGGCCAAUACUGACGCUCAUGCACGAAAAGGCGUGGGGAGCAAAACAGGAUUAGAUACCCCUGGUAGU